GACUGCUGGGUAACAAAAUUGGGUUGAUUCAACCCAAUUUGGGUUGAAAAUCGAUCUUUAUCUAUAACCCAGCAGUGCUGGGUUGGGAACGCGGACGUGAAAGAGAGCACGCACGUCACGUCAACAUGCAGGGACAUCAACGUGAGAAACCGCCAUUUUCUUUGCGCUGUCUUUGAGGGGAAGCGAGUGAAAUUCUGUGUGAGACGUAAGUUAUUUAGUGUGUAUUUAACAAUUUUCAUAAGAAAUAACACACUUAGUUUACUUAGUAUAAUAUACACGUGCUUUUUUUUCUGUUUCUCCGCCUGAUGGCCGACUUGUUGCUCCGCCUCACGCUGACCUGUGCUCGCCUUAUGGCUGAACUGUUGCUCCGAGUCCGCCUGACGAGCCACCUGUUUCUCCGGAUCUGUUUCUCCGCCUAACGGCGACCUGUUUCUGCGGACCUGUUUCUCCGGACCUGUUUCUCCGCCUAACGGCGACCUGUUUCUCCGGACCUGUUUCUCCGCCUAACGCCCGAGCUGUUGCUCCGCCUAACGCCUGACCUGUGCUCGCCUCACGCCCGACCUGUUGCUCCGCCUCACGCCCAGCCUGUUGAUCGGUGGACGGGUAAGCGCGCAUGGCAUCGGAAGGAGCUCGAAAAGUAUAAGGUGAUGACAGUAAGUAACGUUACUGUGAUUUGUGAUCUUUCUGGGGUGUUAACUGUAAAGCAAUGGAUAAUUGCGUGAAAAUCAAACUAAAAGAAUGCAAUCUUGAGGACUUAAUCCCCACAUUUGAAGGAGCGAACCUUUCCUCGUUUUUAGGUCAAUUUGAAUACAAUUCAGAGGGGUGGCAUGGGGGCGCAGUGGGUAGUGCUGUCGCCUCACAGCAAGAUGGUCGCUGGUUUGAGCCUUGGAUGGGUUUCCCCUCCACAGUCCAAUGACAUGCGGUGUAGCUGAAUUGGAUUGGGACCAAUAUUGCUGAGUAUCUUCAUCCAUUGAAUUCAAGAAUCUAUUGAGUUUCCUCAUGUUCUCAUCCUUGGAGACCACCACUUCUUUCAAGCCUUUGCUCACGUGCUGUGCUAUUUAUUAUUGCAAAGUACAUUACUUGCCAAAGUGGACGUUUGCUAUAAAGCAUUCUACAUCUUUGGUGUGAACUACCCCAAGCAGUGUUCCCUGGUGUGGCAGACUGUGGUUUAUGGACAUCCUAGGGAGGAGACACUAGCAGUAAGGGUUCUGCUAGCAUUAAUUUUUGCUGACAAACAGUAAUCAUUAAUACUGUGACCUCACUGCUUCCUUGGAUUCUGUGUUCUUUAACUUGUACUUUGGAUUGUGGGGGAAAAGGAGCACCCAGAGAAAACCCACACGAACAC